UUACGGCCAUAUCACGUUGAAACACCGUGUUCCGUACGAUCACCGAAGUUAAACCACAACGAAUCUGGCCAGUAGCUAGAUGGGUGUCCGCUUGGGAAUACCAGGUGUUGUAAG